rnacentral:rRNA from 1 species
AAAUUGAAGAGUUUGAUCAUGGCUCAGAUUGAACGCUGGCGGCAGGCCUAACACAUGCAAGUCGAACGGUAACAGGAAGCAGCUUGCUGUUUCGCUGACGAGUGGCGGACGGGUGAGUAAUGUCUGGGAAACUGCCUGAUGGAGGGGGAUAACUACUGGAAACGGUAGCUAAUACCGCAUAACGUCGCAAGACCAAAGAGGGGGACCUUCGGGCCUCUUGCCAUCGGA